GGGCACCCUUCCCCUGCCCUAACUGUGCCAGCCACUCCCACCCUCCCCCACCAGCUGUCCAAGGUCAGCUGACAAGAAGUUAAUUCCCUCACAAGGCCUCUUGUGCAGCCCUAGCAGAACUAAUAGCCUGGGCCUGUGGCUGGGGCCCCAGGGCACUGCACCCUCACCUUCCUUCUAAGGGCCGGAGUGGCCGGCUCUGAGGGCUGAGUGUGGGGUGACUCAGGCCCAGGAGGAGGGUGGGUCAGGACAGUGGGGGUAGGCAUGACUCAGCAUCUCAGCUGCUCUCUUGCAGCCUCGUGGGAGGACCUGGUGAGAAACCACUUCCUGCCUCAUCUUCUCCCUGGGGUUCUGCCCUUUGGCACAUCCCCCUCAGCUCUGGGGCUGUGCUCAGGGCCUGCAGACCCCCCUUCUCCCUCUGGGGUACCCAGGAAGCCACAGGUGCAGAGCGCCAGUGAGGAAUGACAGGCACUUUGCAGCCUGCUUUGCACUGGGGGCUGUGAGGGUCUCGGAGACUCCCGGGGACACCCAGGCCUGGGGCAGGGGGCCAGGGCAGAGAAGAGCCAGCAGGAGCCCCCGUCUGCCUCCCUCUUGAAUGGAUGGGUUCGGGGAAAGGGAGAGAAAGGCUUCAGGCGCAGUGCCCAGCAGUGUUUGCGGGGUUCGUGGCAGUGGGUGCGGAGGUAGUUCAUUCAUUCUCAAGGCUCUGAGCCUCCCCUGCGUGCACCUGCCACUAAUCAUUCAUCCCUUCUAUGGUCCUGGGGACAAGCUUCUCCAGGCUCUAGGGAGCUUUCCUGUUGGGGCUUCUGUCAACAGCGCUGCAUGUGCAUUCUCGUCCCUGCCUCGGUGGCUGGGUGCAUUUCAGUUGGGUGUGUGCCUAGAAGAGGUGCCAGUGGCCAAGGACAACCCGGGACCAGCGUUAGUGGACAGGCCACACGGUUUUCCAUCCCUCGGACCGGCACGGGCCAACUGCUCUGUGUUCCUGACCACAGCUGGGGUUUUCCAGUGUCUCCACUACAGCCACCCCCACAGGCGUGCGGGGUGCGGACCCGGACUUGAAUCUGCACAUUGCUGACGGGAGUAGGGACAAGCACUGGUUCGUGGGUUUACUGACAGCCGGGUUUCCUCUGUGUGUGUGCGAAGUGCUGGUCAAGUCCCAGGGAUUGUUUCCCUUUCUGUUGGGUUGUCCGCCGUCUUAUAGGUUUGUAGUUGCCACAUACGUGUAAUGAGAAUACGUGUGCUCGCUUCGGCAGCACAUAUGCUAAAAAAAGUAAUGAGAAUACGUUUUCUCUCACCAUGACUUGCCUUUUCACUCUUAAUUCAGUAUUUUUUGAGGAACAGAAGUUAUUCAUUUUAAUGCGGUCUAAUUUAUCCUUUUUCCCCUAAGAGAGAUUGGUGCUUCUCUCUGUUAACAAACUUUAAUUUCUAAAACAGGUUUAUAUUUACAGAACAAUUGGCUGAGGGUAGAGUUCCCGUAAACCCAUCCUUCAUAUGUUCAUAAUUUCCCCGCAACUAACGUUUCUCGUUGGUGGCUGUCAAAGUUGGCAAGCCAAUAUUGUUCUAUUAUUAACCAAAGUCCAUCUCUGACAUCAGGGUUCACUCCCUGCUCUGAAUUUCAGGGGUUUGGACAAGUGUACAAAGUCCUGCAUCCACCAUGCACGUUCCACACAGUUUCCCUGCCCCGAAAACCUGUGCUUCCUCCUAUUCCACUCUCCCCCUUCCCUUCCUGAACCCCUGGCAACCAGGGAUCUCGCUACUGUGUCCAUAAUUUUGCGUUUUCUGGGAUGUCACAGAGUUAGAAUCACACAGCACGUGGCUUCCUUCGAUUAGGGAGAUGCACCUAAGAUGCCUCCGUGAACCUUCAGGGCUUCAUGGCUCACUUCCUUUUUGUGCUGAAUGGACCACAGUUCGUCCAUCCAUCCUGCUGAAGGGCCUCUUGGCUGCUUCCACGUGUGGCGUUUAUGAUACAGCUUCUACAAGCAUCCAUGUGCGGGUUUGCGUGUGGACAUGAGUCUUUGCCUCCUUCGGGUGAGUACCAAGGAGCGCGAUGGCUGGAUGGAAUGUGUGUGGACGUUCAAUACGUGCCCAGAGCAGCUGCACCAUCCUGCGUCCCCACCAACAGUGGACAUGACGGUCCCCGUUGCUCCACGUCUUCACCAGCAGUUUGGGCUGUCAAGGGCUGGAUUCCGGCCCUAGCAGCAGUUCCCAUUGGCGUUCAAGUCUCCGAUCCACCUGGAAGGCUGUGUAGGGUGUGAAGGAGGGAUCGACAUCCUCCCGGCCUCCUGUCUGUUGAUGGAGAAGAUUGUCCUCCAUGUGUGCGACUCCCCUGUUCUGGACGUCUACUUGUGACUGCAAUGUCAAUGCCACACUGUCUUUGUCAUUGGGUCCUUACACCCAGCCUCUCCCUGAAAGUGCUCCCCUCAAGGUCAGAUUGCUAAAUCCAGUGGUUGGCAUGCAGUCUCAUCCUCCACCCAGUCCAUGCAGAGCCUCCUCGAAUUGCUCUUUGCCUGGCUUCCAGGCUCUCCUUUCUUGGUCUCUUCUGUCCGGAGUGGCUCAGGCUCAGUCUCUGUCGCCAUUCCCUGUCGAUUCCCCCUUCUCAAAGUUGAGAAGCUGCAGGCCCUCCUCAUCUCUGUCUACACUCAGCUCUGGUUGCCCCCAACCACAACCCCCAGGUCCCAGAGCUGCUGCCUCUCCACAGUGCCCCUUGCACAUCUGACAGGCAUGACCUCAACCUGACCCGCCCAAAACUGAGCUCCUGGUCUUCCUCCCAGAUCCCCUCCCCCUGCAUCACUUCCUGUCUCUGCCAGUAACAGGCCUUCCCUCAGA